rnacentral:rRNA from 1 species
AUUGAACUCUGGCGGCAGGCCUAACACAUGCAAGUCGAACGAGUGGCGGACGGGUGAGUAAUGUCUGGGAAACUGCCUGAUGGAGGGGGAUAACUACUGGAAACGGUAGCUAAUACCGCAUACCAUAAGAUGGGCCCAGAUGGGAUUAGCUAGUUGGUGGGGGAACGGCCUACCAAGGCGACGAUCAGUAGCGGGUCUGAGAGGACGAACAGCCACAUUGGGACUGAGACACGGCCCAGACUCCUACGGGAGGCAUCAGUGGGGAAUUUUGGACAAUGGGGGCAACCCUGAUCCAGCCAUGCCGCGUGUAUGAAGAAGGCCUUCGGGUUGUAAAGUACUUUUGUUUGGGAGGCGGUACCUAAAGAAUAAGCACCGGCUAACUACGUGCCAGCAGCCGCGGUAAUAC